GAUGAACGCUAGCGGCAGGCCUAACACAUGCAAGUCGAGGGGCAGCACAGAAACAGCAAUGUUUUGGUGGCGACCGGCGGACGGGUGCGUAACGCGUAUGCAACCUACCUUUAACAGGGGGAUAACGGAGAGAAAUUUCCACUAAUACCCCAUAACAUCGAUCAAGGCAUCUUGCUUGGUUGAACACUCCGGUGGUUAAAGAUGGGCAUGCGUUGUAUUAGGUAGUUGGUGAGGUAAUGGCACACCAAGCCUACGAUACAUAGGGGGACUGAGAGGUUAGCCGCCCACACGGGUACUGAGUGAGUGACCAGAAUCCUGCGGGAGGCAGCAGUGAGGAAUGUUGGUCAAUGGGGGGAACCCUGAACCAGCCAUGCUGCGUGCAGGAAGACGGCUCUGUGAGUUGUAAACUGCUUUUAAGAAGGGAUAAAGCACAGUAUGUAUGCUGUGUAGAAGGUACUGUAAGAAUAAGGAUCGGCUAACUCCGUGCCAGACGCCGCCGUAA
rnacentral:rRNA from 1 species